CGACAAUCGUUUCGAAGUGAAGACGUCAUAAAUAUUUAUAUUUAUAAUAAUAUACAAACUUCUGCAUGUGUUGCUUGUUCGGUGAGAUUAACAAACUGCGUAUGCUUGCCGUGUUUUCACUGGAUUGCAUGUGUUCAAUGCGUUAAAACCAUCUUACAGCUUACAGAGCAAGAAAAUGCUGACUUCAGAUGCUCAAUAUGCUUUCAAGUUGUUGAGUCGUUUUUAAAACUGAAUAUUACCUGAUCACUAAAAUUCAGAUGAAAAGGAUUUAAUAGUGAAGUUUCAAUUAUAUUCAACAUACAGAAUGAGCUCAUCGUUACUCGGGAAAUCAAAUGUUGACGGUAUUCAUAUAUUUUGUGAUAUUAAACAUUCAUUAUAUAUUGUCGUGACUUUUUUCGAAGAUUUUUUUUUCUAAAAUAA